rnacentral:rRNA from 1 species
UACGGAGGGUGCAAGCGUUAAUCGGAAUUACUGGGCGUAAAGCGCACGCAGGCGGUUUGUUAAGUCAGAGGUGAAAACCCCGGGCUCAACCUUGGAACUGCAUCUGAUACUGGCAAGCUUGAGUCUCGGAGAGGAGGGUAGAAUUCCAGGGGUAGCGGUGAAAUGCGUAGAUAUCUGGAGGAACACCGGUGGCGAAGGCGGCCCCCUGGACGGAAACUGACGCUCAGGUGCGAAAGCGUGGGGAGCAAACAGG